rnacentral:misc_RNA from 1 species
GAUGAAGAACGCAGCGAAAUGCGAUACGUAAUGUGAAUUGCAGAAUUCAGUGAAUCAUCGAAUCUUUGAACGCAUAUUGCGCUCUCUGGUAUUCCGGAGAGCAUGCUUGUUUGAGUAUCAGUAAACACCUCAACUCCCUUUUCUUUUUUGAAAUUGGAGCUGGACUUGAGUGAUCCCAACGCUUUCUUCCAAGAAAGUGGCGCGUUGCUUGAAAUGCAGGUGCAGCUGAACUUUUCUCUGAGCUAUAAGCAUAUCUAUUUAGUCUGCCCAAAAAACAGAUUAUUACCUUUGCUGCAGCUAACAUAAAGGAGACUAGUUCUUGUGCUGACUGAUGCAGGAUUCACAGAGACAGCUUCGGCUGACUUUGUAAACUCGAUCUCAAAUCAAGUAAGACUACCCGCUGAACUUAAGCAUAUCAAUAAGCGGAGGA